GACGAACGCUGGCGGCGUGCUUAACACAUGCAAGUCGAACGGAAAGGCCCUGCUUUUGUGGGGUGCUCGAGUGGCGAACGGGUGAGUAACACGUGAGUAACCUGCCCUUGACUUUGGGAUAACUUCAGGAAACUGGGGCUAAUACCGGUUAGGAGCUCCUGCUGCAUGGUGGGGGUUGGAAAGUUUCGGCGGUUGGGGAUGGACUCGCGGCUUAUCAGCUUGUUGGUGGGGUAGUGGCUUACCAAGGCUUUGACGGGUAGCCGGCCUGAGAGGGUGACCGGCCACAUUGGGACUGAGAUACGGCCCAGACUCCUACGGGAGGCAGCAGUGGGGAAUAUUGCACAAUGGGCGGAAGCCCGAUGCAGCAACGCCGCGUGCGGGAUGACGGCCUUCGGGUUGUAAACCGCUUUCGCCUGUGACGAAGCGUGAGUGACGGUAAUGGGUAAAGAAGCACCGGCUAACUACGUG
rnacentral:rRNA from 1 species